AUUGAACGCUGGCGGCAGGCCUAACACAUGCAAGUCGAACGAGUGGCGGACGGGUGAGUAAUGUCUGGGAAACUGCCUGAUGGAGGGGGAUACCUACUGGAAACGGUAGCUAAUACCGAAUACCAUCGAAUGUGCCAAAAUGGGAUUAGCUGUUGGGUGGGGUAAGGGCUCACCAAGGCGCCGAUCCCUAGCUGGUCUGAGAGGAGGACCAGUCACACUGGAACGGAGACACGGUCCAGACUCCUACGGGAGGCAGCAGUGGGGAAUAUUGCACAAUGUGCGCAAGCCUGAUGCAGCCAUGCCGCGUGUAUGAAGAAGGCCUUCGGGUUGUAAAGUACUUUCAGCGGGGAGGCGUUACCCGCAGAAGAAGCACCGGCUAACUCCGUGCCAGCAGCCGCGGUAAUUC
rnacentral:rRNA from 1 species